rnacentral:lncRNA from 1 species
CCCAGCUCCCCAGAAACGAGGUGGCCAUUUAUCUGAGUUGUGUGUGGAUCUUUUCUCUCCACUUCAGUGACUCUCAGUGGAGAAACAGGUCUCUCCACCACUCUCUUCCUCGCCCUCGGGUCUGGUCUGCGUCUGAGACCCCCAAGCUCCUGGAUGUGGAGCCUGGGGAGCCGUCUGUUGUUCGUGGGCCAGGCCCCAUGGUAGCCAGUCUCCAGUAUGGCCGCAACCAUCUUGGCCUCCAGGACCUCGCGCCCUGGUGCAGGAUCCAGCCCUGUGGGUGCCCAACACCCCUCUCUCGCCUUCCCCUGAUCCCUACCCUGUUGGGUCCUGUCUUUAUUUAAAAUGUGGCUAUUUUGUUCAUGGUGGAUGUUUUCUACUAAUUUUGAUUUUUCAAAAAAUUCCUGCAAUACUGAGUUUUUUGGUGCCCCCUUACAUUUUGCACACAAGGCGAGCACCACACUUGCUCACCCAGUCCUGGCCCUGUCCCCUCUCACAUUGCCACAAGGCUGCCCUAUGUGACAGACAGAAUAACCCAGAAGUCUGUGCCUUAGGAGGCUAGGUCACAAAGGGCAUUUCAGCUGUCACGCUGGCCUCUGGGAUCCCUCGCUCUGGCUGCGCUCAGUGAGGAUUGAGCAGCCCUGUGGAGAGGCAGACCGGGUAAGGAACUAAGGCCACUCGCCAACAGCCAGUGCCAGUGUGCCAGGCAUGUGAGUGAGCCACCUUGACAGCAGGUCCCCCAGCCCCAGUGUCUACAGCAUCCUUCACUCUCCCCCCACCAGCUCCUAUUGGUCCUUCAGAUUGUCUCACUUCAUGUGCCACUGCUUCCAGGAAGCUUUCCUGAAUGCUCCCAACUGGGUUACAGGAUGGUUCCGUGAUGCUGUCGUCCUCAUGACUGUGAGCUCUGGAAGGCUGGGAGCCGCGUCUUGUCAUCCCACUGGCUUCCACAGGACAGUGAAUGAAGGGCGGGGUGUGCUGGGGAAUUAGGACACUAAGGGGUUGAGAUCUCUGCAGCAGAGCUACCCAAACCUGGUGGAGCAUGGAACCAGCUGCUGAACCUUCGGAAGAGUCAGCCUCCCUGACAGAUGGAGAAUUCCUCAAGAGCAGGACCGUGUCUGUGUUCCCAGCACCUCCCCAUGCCUGGCACUUCGAGGAUGCUCCGUUACUAUUUGUUGAGAGAAUGGAUAAUUGAAUAAAGAAUGCUACCACCUAAGCUGCAGAGCCGUUUGCUGGAAGAAGUGAGGCCAGGAACUGGAAAGCCAGAGAGUUUGGGACACCUGUGCCAGGUGUCUGUCACCGUGCAGCGAGCGUGUCUGAGCACCUGGCAGCUUCCCUCCUUCCCCAGCCGGUCACUCACGGCCCACCUGCAGGACGGGUCCAGGAGCAGGCGGAGCCUCCUGGUGGCCCCACUUUUGCCUCCUCCCCUGCAGUAGAUGCUUCGUUACCAGAAGGCGAAGGUCAGAGUCUGGCCACGGGCCCAGCAUUUCUGGCCCAGUUUUGCCGCAGGAAGCCAACUGUGCAGAAGGUCAGGAUGCUGGUGGGGUCAGAGUGGGAAAGUUAACAUUCCCAAGGGCCUCUAUGCAACAGGACUUCCUGACGUGGACUAUUGCCUUUCUCACAUUACGUGGCCAGAUUGACUUCCUGCCAUUAUUAACUGUGCAAACAUGACAAAGACGUUUAUUUAAUGGGAACGGGCGAAGGACUUUGCUCGACUCUGAGCUUUGAGGAGGCGGUAGGAUCAUGGAAUUAACCACAGCUGAGAGCUGGGAUUCCAGUCCGGGCUCUACCUGCCUUUGCCAUCUGCUAGAACAUGUAACUUCAUGUCUCAACCUCAGUUUCCUUUUCUGUAACAAGUGGGGAAGAAGGGUGGUAAGAAAUGUUGAGUCAGAACUCAGAGUUGCUGGGUGGGUGAAGUGAGGUCAUUAAUGUGGGAAACGUUUUGCGAACUGGAAAGUGCCAUCUGAGUUUUCAUCAUCAGUUUUGAUCUCCUCCUCCAACAAUCUAGCAUCUCAGCCCGCUUUUCCCAGCUGAGAAGGCCUCUGUGGCUCCAGGAGAAGGUGCCCUCUCCCCAGCUGAGGCUGGCUGCUGGCAGGCAGGCCACCAGCCUUCUGCAGUCACCUCCCGCCAGCUCUGGGCCAAAGGGGCCCUGCCCCUCGGGUUCCCUCUGCGAUUUGCUUCUCUGCUGUUUCCGCUCAAGUUCCUCCUCUGCUCUCUGUCCGUGAAAACGCUCUCCCCCCUCACAAUGCCUUCUCUGAUCUGGUUUCUACAUGGCCGAGCGGGACGUUCACUGCAUCUUACAACCCACUGUUCUCCACGUGUGCUCGCGGGCCCAGCGGCAGCAGCAGCAGCCCCCUGGGAAUGUGUGGGAAAUGCACAGUCUUGGGUCCCACCCAGACCAAUGAAGCAGAAAUGAUGAGGGUGGGGCCAGCAGUCUGUGUUUUCACAGGCCCUCAGGGAUUCUGAUGUACACUCAAGGUCCAGGACCAGUAGGCUAACCUGUCUCCCCAACUGGGUGUGAGCUCCCUGCUGGCCGGGGCUGCCUCCCACUGUGGCUCCCAGAGCCUGGCACGCAGAGACCACGAGUGACCAUGAAACUGCCUCACAGACGUGCGCUGGCCUUCCUGCCGCCACACCUGGGCUCACAACAUGCCCUCAGCCCCUUCCUUCCCGCGGCCCUCCCCACAUGCUCACAAAACCUCAAGGCCAGCCGUCUCCCCUGAGUCCUGCAGCGGCCUGUUCUGCCUCAGUCUCCCUCCAUAGCCGCUGCCUGAACCUGCCAGACACCACUCUGGGCUCACCGCCUGGUCACCCCUUGGUGGGGUUGCCCUUAAACAAAAGGUCCUUUCUGCACGCAUCUUUCAUGUGACAUUUUGCACCGACUUGGUUUGUGUUUGAAGGAGCGCUGGUGCAGUAGGGGAUCAUCCUUGCAGCCACAGGGUGGAAGUCACCUGGCAGCUUCACCAGGGAAGUCAAGGUGUGUGUGUCAGUCGGCCUUUGCACCAACAUUCAUAGCAGAAGCAGUUCACACCACGUCCCCCCCUGACCUGAAGGAGAGAGAAAGGGAAGAGGCACUUGAGGUGCUCAGCGAGCUGCAAAGUUCCGUCCUCCAGCUGCUCCAAGCCCUGCGUGGGCCAUGGGGUCUGCACGGUGGGCGGGCAGGCCAUGCAGGUCUCUGCCUGACCCACACCGUGUCAGGGUUUGUUUUUACUUUCCCUGCUCUUGCUGCCACAGCCUAUGUGUCCCCAGAUUCUUCUUUUAGGCCCUGGAUGGGAGCCAGCCUCCUGCAGCUAGGCUGCCCGGGUUCGAACGCUGGCUCUGCUGCCUAGGGUAAGUUACUUGACCAUUCUGUGCCUCAGUUUCCUCAUCUGUAAAGCAGGCCUGGGUGGUAACACUUAGGUCUUAAGUUUCUUGUGCAGACAAAAUCAGAGAGGACUUGCAAAGCCUACAGAGUAGAGCUCCCACACAGGAGCCCUCCAAGCUCUUGGUCCUGAAGUGGAUACCCCUGGCCCAUGAGCCCAGUAAGGGAAGGCAAGAGCUGGUGAGUGGCAGGCUGGGUCAACCCGGGGCCUGGCUCCCUCCCCAGCCACCACCUGCCUCCAAAUCCAGCAUCAUAUAUGACUCUAAAUUAGUUUUGGGACCAGAAUUUGUAAUCUUUCUGGUUUCAAGCAUGAGGACCCUUAUUUAGUGCUAAGUAAAAUAUCUGCUUUUUGCUCUCUCAGCAUCCAUUGUCCAAGAGAAAAUAACCUAGUAGCCUUUUAGAAUUUGUAUUCCACUGACUACAACAACAUCUGUAUACAUCUGAAAACUAUUCAGACAAGUAUGUGUAAGACAAAUCUCUUCAGCCUGCAGACAGUGUGCUCGGGGCCUUGAUGGAUUCUCUGGCAGACCCCCCCAGCAGGGUGCCUCCAGGCUGGGGACCAGUGUGGUCUUCAGGAAACAAAGGCUUAAUGUAAACUGGGCUCUCCUCAGGCAGGAGUUCCCUCAACAUUCCUUGCCAGGUGUGUAGUAUGAUAAGCCCAUUUCACAGAUAAGAGCACAGAGGCACCAAGAGCUGUAUUAACUACCCAAGACGAAGCUAGUGAUUAGUAGAGCAUGAGUGAGGUCUGGGUGACCCCAAAGCCCAAGUUUUACCCCCUACCCUACCCUUCAACAUGGCAGCUACUCUCUAUUAAUCUUAUCUCCACAGCUGAGUCUGGGAACUCCUGAACAGCACAGAAGUAUCAACUAUCAGCCAGGAGCCAAUAUUCCCAGAGCAGACAGCAUAUCAGGUGCUGGUGCCUCUGUGACCUCGUUUAAUCCAGCAGGAAUCCAAUCAAUUUCCCUAUACUACAGAGGAGCAAAUCAAUUCUCAGAGAGGCUGAGUAACCUGCCCAACGUCACCCAGUUAAGAAGUGGCAGGGCUGGGGCCAGAAUCCAGGUCUGUCUGUCCCUGGGUCCCUGUUGGCCCCUUCGCAGCGUGUGAGCUUCCCAGGGCCUCAGGUAGGGAGGGGGUAGAUAGCUACCUUGAGCCAUAAAAUUCCCCUCACAACACGAUAGGUGUUAGCAAAUUUUUAAAAAUUCUUUGCCCCAGAUCAGGUCCUACAUUGGGAUGAAUCAUCUGACUCCAUAUAAAGUAACCUCAGGAUCGCUGGAUUGAUGGGGAGUGUGGGCAGAAGAGGGUUUUUUGUUGUUUUGAUCUCAACUGAAAAGCAAUUUUUAAUGUGCCAAAUGUUGCACACUCAAUCCAAUACACAGAUUUAUUACGCAGGAGGCCAAAGUGUGCUAAUCAGGAGUCAUCAUCUUGCAACAAGAAUAAAUAAGAACAAAGCCAGCAAGCGUUCCUCCCGGGAGCUAAGAAUGUCAUUGUCUAAUGUCUUGUCUUAGCCGCCUCAGCCCACAAACGGCUCCUCCUGUCUUUAGGGGACAACAAUCGCUGCGGAAUUCUGCUGAGCACAGACGGGCCGAGACACAGAGAGUGGGGUUUGUUGCUUGAAAGCAUUUUGCUUUCUGUAACCACUGUUCCCAAGAAAGAGCUGGGACUGUCUUGCCUGCCCUGUCUCUCAUUCCAGACACCUCUGGAGCAACUCAGAUCCUGAAGCCUUGGCUUGAGGGCAAGUAGAGGCAGAACGUAGGGAAGAGAGCUCCGUGCCAGGCAGAAAUCCCCCACCCUUCCUGUUUCCCGACUCUGAGCAAGCCACUCAACCACGCUCAGCCUCGGCUUCCUCUGCUGGAAAAUGGGGAGAGGAAGGGUUCAUUCAGGCGGCUGGGGGUCCAAGAUUCCUAGCCUGGUGCCUGGUGCCUGGCACAGGGUAGUGCCUGUUAUUAAGAAACUGCUGGGCUAAACCAUGGCCAGGGAGAAAGCUUGGUGGAGGUAACCGGGCACCCUCAGAUGGUAGCUCAGAAAUUGUGUUCCUCACUGAGCAGCUUUGAUCAAACCACUUCCCUUCUCAAAAGUGUUCGGUGGCUUCCUGCUCCCCUGAAUGCAAUAUGGGUCCUUUAACCUGACCACCAAGACCCUCAUUCCCCAAAAUGCCUUUUCAGCCAACUUUUCUACACUCCAAAAUGCCACUUAAUAAAUAUUUAAAGAAAGAGUGAAUACAAUGCAUCUAGCAUUGUGUGUCUAAAAAUCUCGGCCCUGGUCCCAAGAGGCGCAUAAGCUAAUUGGGAGCAAGGCCCAAGAUACCAGAAGAAAAGGGAAAUAGCCAUUUAUUUUACAUUUUAAUCAAGGGACCAACUCAGAUCCCAAAUCCUAGUCCUCAUUCUGCCCCAGAUGUCCUGAGGGCCUGCUCUGAUGUGACAUUCGGAGGAUGCCACUUAGGUUAGGGAACAAGGGGGCGCUACAAGUCAUGAACCAUAACACCCAGGCCAGGAGGGCGCUGACAGUCUAAGGGGGAAGCUGCCACCCCAGGAUACCGUAGGUGCUUCUGUUGUCUCACUCUGCACCCCACACUGUGCCACCAAGCAGGGAGAAGGUCAAUAUGAUGCGUUUUGUAGUUUUCUAUGGAGACAACAGCUGACUGCCAACCAGAAUGAUGACAUAAGGAAUCAGCCUUCACUGGUGAAAGGAAAGGUGUUCAAGACUUGCAGACAAUGCAGCAAAUUGGCUGCAUUACUUAGAAACACUCCCCAGGCUGCAUGAACACAGUGUAAGGGCCCAGUGAGGCCUGGAGGCCAGGCCUGCGGUGUUGCUGCCGAGGCUUGAUCCACCCCCCGACCCCCUAGUCUUCCAUGCAGUUGUCCACCUGUGGGGAGGACUUCAGUUGCCUGAUUACAAGGACUUUGAGGACGACGGGAUCCUGCCCAGGAGUACUGUGACCACUGCAGGAGCUCCUCAAAGGGCAGGGAGCCGAGACGCCCUGGUGAUACGCAAGAGUUUGUGCAGACACGGGGGCACCUGGAGAAUGGCAGCUUGGAUUUACAUGUCUCUCUGGGGCAGAAUUUGCAUGGAGACUUGCUUGCAUCAUAACCUGGUCGUGGGGUUGUGGGGAAGGAGUUAACCAGCCCUGACCCCAAACUUCUGCAGGGACUACUCUCAUCCACCCAAACCCGGGAGCCGUGCGUGGCCGCAUGGUCUUCGGUCAGUCCACUCCCUCAGGGCCCUCUGGUCACACUCCUCUGCAGGGCCUUUACUGUGGGCCGCUCUGUCCAGACCCCGCGCUUUCUCCAUGGAAGUGGCAGAUGUGGAUACCUCCAUGGUAUUUGGACACAAGAAAGGCCGCAUUCAUUUAUCCAACUGCAAUUAAAUCUGUUUCAAGACACCCUACUCACAAAACUGGGCAGAAAUUGCAAUAUCAUUCCAAGUCAUCUGUUGGUCCCUCCCUGAGCCCUACUGGCAUAUUAGGGGGCUUUGGAGGUGCUCCCAGGAAGCCACAGUCAGUGGUGCUUUUUUCUGCAUGGUGGGCAGUGGUGCCCACCCCGGGCAGCUGUGGCAGGCAUGCCGGGGAGGUCAACCAGCCCAGCUUGCUGCCCAGCUCAGCACUGCCCCUCCUCCUAUGGAGGGCGUCUCCUGCUGGUGGCCACACUUCUUCCGAGCAGUCAGCCAGAGGGACCUCAGGCUGGGGGGCCUCCAUGCUUGUGCCCAGAAGUCCCAGGCCCCAGGCAGCCAUCUCCACAAGUAGGGCCACCUGAGUGUUUCUGCAUUUGCCAGACCUAUGGAGUCCUAGGGCUCACUCUGUUUUUGUCCUCAUCAGCCACCUGCAACAGGGCCACAACCCU